rnacentral:rRNA from 1 species
UNUGACUUGAGUGCAGAAGGGGAGAGUGGAAUUCCAUGUGUAGCGGUGAAAUGCGUAGAUAUAUGGAGGAACACCAGUGGCGAAAGCGGCUCUCUGGUCUGUCACUGACGCUGAGGCUCGAAAGCGUGGGUAGCGAACAGGAUUAGAUACCCUGGUAGUNCACGCCGUAAACGAUGAGUGCUAGGUGUUAGGCCCUUUCCGGGGCUUAGUGCCGGAGCUAACGCAAUAAGCACUCCGCCUGGGGAGUACGACCGCAAGGUUGAAACUCAAAGGAAUUGACGGGGGCCCGCACAAGCGGUGGAGCAUGUGGUUUAAUUCGAAGCAACGCGAAGAACCUUACCAGGUCUUGACAUCCCGAUGCUAUUCUUAGAGAUAGGAAGUUACUUCGGUACAUCGGAGACAGGUGGUGCAUGGUUGUCGUCAGCUCGUGUCGUGAGAUGUUGGGUUAAGUCCCGCAACGAGCGCAACCCUUAUUGUUAGUUGCCAUCAUUAAGUUGGGCACUCUAGCGAGACUGCCGGUAAUAAACCGGAGGAAGGUGGGGAUGACGUCAAAUCAUCAUGCCCCUUAUGACCUGGGCUACACACGUGCUACAAUGGUCGGUACAACGAGUUGCGAGCCGGUGACGGCAAGCUAAUCUCUGAAAGCCGAUCUCAGUUCGGAUUGGAGGCUGCAACUCGCCUCCAUGAAGUCGGAAUCGCUAGUAAUCGCGGAUCAGCACGCCGCGGUGAAUACGUUCCCGGGCCUUGUACACACCGCCCGUCACACCACGAGAGUUUGUAACACCCGAAGUCGGUGAGGUANCCUUUUAGGGGCCA